rnacentral:tRNA from 1 species
GCUCCGUUCGUAUAAUGGUUUAGUACGUCUGCCUUUCUAGCAGAAAAUAAGGGUUCGAUUCCCUUACGGAGUA